GUUUAGACUUUUUUUAGAA
rnacentral:tRNA from 1 species